rnacentral:rRNA from 1 species
UACGUAGGGGGCAAGCGUUGGUCCGGAUUUAUUGGGCGUAAAGAGCGUGUAGGCGGCUAGGUAGGUCCGUUGUGAAAACUCGAGCUCAACCUCGAGACGCCGGUGGAAACCAUCUAGCUAGAGUCCGGAAGAGGAGAGUGGAAUUCCGUGGUGUAGCGGUGAAAUGCGCAGAUAUCAGGAAGAACACCCGUGGCGAAGGCGGCUCUCUGGUACGUGACUGACGCUGAGACGCGAAAGCGUGGGGAGCGAACAGG